AACGAACGCUGGCGGCGUGCCUAACACAUGCAAGUCGAACGCGAAAGUCCUUCGGGAUGAGUAAAGUGGCGCACGGGUGAGUAACACGUAGGUGACCUGCCUUUUAGAGGGGAAUAACCAGAAGAAAUUUUGGCUAAUGCCGCAUACGAAAUACAAAAGUAAAAAUCGUAUUUGAAAGGAUGCCUCUGUAUAUGCAUCCACUAAAAGAUGGGCCUGGGGAACAUUAGCUAGUUGGGGGGGUAAAGGCCUACCAAGGCAACGAUGUUUAUCCGGUCUGAGAGGAUGAACGGACACACUGGAACUGAGACACGGUCCAGACUCCUACGGGAGGCAGCAGUGGGGAAUAUUGCGCAAUGGAGGAAACUCUGACGCAGCAACGCCGCGUGAGUGAGGAAGGACUUCGGUCUGUAAAGCUCUGUUAAUGUGGAAAAAUGGCAGUUGGUCUAAUAGGCCGAUUGUUUGAUGGUACACAUAGAGGAAGCACCGGCUAACUUCGUGCCAGCAGCCGCCGUAA
rnacentral:rRNA from 1 species